rnacentral:rRNA from 1 species
GAUCCUGGCUCAGGAUUAACGCUGGCGGCGUGCAUAACACAUUCAAGUCGAACGGAGAGAUACAGCCCUUGGGUAGUAUUGAUCAGUGGCGGACGGGUGAGUAACGCGUGAGUAACCUGCCUGUGAGAGGGGAAUAACAGCUGGAAACGGGUGCUAAUACCGCAUAAAGCAUAAUAAUCGCAUGAUUGAUAUGCCAAAGAGAGAUCGCUCACAGAUGGACUCGCG